UGUGAAUAUGUGACGUGCCAUGGUUAAAGGGACUUUGCAGGUGUGACUAAGUUCAGGCUCUUAAACUGGGAAGAGCAUUCUGGGUAAUUCACAUGGGCCCACUGUAAUCACAGGGUCCAUAUAAGAGGGAGAGUGGGGGAAGGUCAGAGAGAUUUGUAUGCUGUGUUGUUGUCUUUGAAGAUAGAGCAAGGGGUCAAGUGCCAAGGACUAUAGUUAGCCUCUGCAAGCUGGAAAAGACAAGGAAAUGGAUUCUUCCCUCCAGUCUCCGGGAGGAAUGCAGCAUUGGUGGAAGCCAUUUCAGACUUUGGGUCUCCAGAACUAUAGCUUGGAUCUCUCCAUGAGCAGUUGAGGAGUUGAAAAGCAAAUAAACGUCAACAGUUCUGAAUCCCAACAUUGUUUAAUGACAACCUUCCCAUGUUUGCCGACUCGCUGCUUAACAACAAUCCUGUUGACUCUGUGUAAAAAGCUUUCCAGGUCCUCCCAGAAUAAAUACUACGGUAAUGAGUGUGUAAGCAGGAAAUUCCCUGAAAGGAAGGCUGCAGAGGAAUAGGUGUUUACCAAAGUAUUCUACAUUCUGUGUUAGAAUCAGUGGGAAAAAAUGAAAACUUGCUGCCUUUCAGAAGUAGAAGCAGGAUGGACUUCAACCAAAAGUUGGAGAUGACCCUGAAAAGAAGAAAUUAUCUUAAAAAGAGAGAUAGGUGGCUUGGCAAGUGAAGAUAGUGCAGUUUCAUAAUCCUUUGGGUUGGUUUGGUCAGCAUUUGUAAUCUAACCCCUCACUGAUGUUUUGGAGAAAUAACAUUUUCUCUUAUGGUAUUUUUGUACAUAUUAUCUGCUUUCAAAAGAAUUCUUUACCAUAUUAUAUCAAAAAGAAGCUUUAAAAUAAUUUGAAUUGCAAUGGAUUAUGAUACGAAUUGCUCCUGACUCCUACCCUGCUCUUUUUCCCUAAAAUCACCAUUUUUAUCACUUCCAAUCUGGAGGUGUAUAGCAUUUGACAAAAUAAGGUGGCUAUAUUUGUAAUAUCUCCUCUGUCCUUAGAAAUAUUGCCUGUGUAUGCCACAACUUCUAAAUGGCUGUGUCCUGUGAUUUUAUACUAUCUUUUAUAAAGCAAUGAUCAUUAUGCCAGUUAAGAUGGAUGCUAUUGUAAAAGAGUUCUUUCCUAGGAAUUUUUGCUAUAGCUCCUCUCAGUCUUUAUUUCUGUAGAGGAAAAAAAAUGGCUUGUUCAUUAAAAAAAAAUAUGUUUUAACCUCAAAAAUUGGUGAGGCUGAGUCCCCUGGCUGGCUCAGUGGGAAGAGCAUGUGACUCUUGAUGUUGGGGCCAUGAGUUUGAGCCCCAUGUUGAGUGAGAUGACUAAAAAUAAAUAAACCUUAAAAAAACUGGUGAGGCAUAGUGUAUCUUACCAAUUUUUAAGAGAUAUGCUAUAUUUUGCAUAUAGGUAUAUAAGCCCCCCUAGUGAGAGUUAUACUAAAAUUUCAAUGGCAAAACUUGUUAUUUCUGUUACUAAAGCGUCAAUUCAUUGUUUAAGAUUGAAAAAUUAUUGCUACUUAAGAUGUUAAACAAACAAACCCUCCUUAACCAGUUACUGAGUUACUGAAUUUUCCUCAAUUUUUAAAGUAACCCAGGUGAGUUAAAACUAAGCUAAGCAUAAAGACAACCUUACAGUUGAGUUCUAAACUGCCUUUCAAAAUUAUUAUCCACAGCAAGAUUUUAAGUACUUGAAGUGUAAGGGGUAGUGUGAUACCUUAUAUUUUCGUCAGUCCUCCAAUAUCAUUUAUUACAAUACCAGACAAAAUAAUAGAUGUUCUACAAAUGUCUGACUGUUUUAAAAACACAUGCUUGUAUCAUUUACCUCGUCCUUGCCUUCUUAAAUGGUUUAUUUUGCCAAAGCACUCUGAUGGGAAAUUAUUUCAGUGUUUGUCAAUUAAAACAUUUAAAAAUUAAACACUGAGUUUCAGAGGAAAGGAAGAUGCCAGAACUGGCCAAUAAGAAUAAGUGAUAAUUCUGAAAUAAUGAAAGGGUGCCGCAGGAACAGCAACAGUCAGUUUUACGCUUGUGAGGAAAUGAUGAGUGGGAAAUUUGUGACACCUGACUAAAAAUCAAUGCUCCUGGAAGGUGAUAUAAUAGCUUUGAGCUGGAAAAAAAAAAAAAAAGUACAGGGGAAAUCAAAGCUGACACGGUGAAACUGCACAGAAAGAAGUGGGUAGAAUAAUGACAAUGUCAAGCAACUAAUGGAUCUAAUGAGGCACAACGCGAUGGCAUAAAGAUCUCAUGUCUUCUAAAACAACUAGUUAAUUUAGCUGACUAAUUUGCUUACUCACCUUUUC